GACGAACGCUGGCGGCGUGCUUAACACAUGCAAGUCGAGCGGUAAGGCCCUUUCGGGGUACACGAGCGGCGAACGGGUGAGUAACACGUGGGUGACCUGCCCUUAGCUCUGGGAUAAGCCUGGGAAACUGGGUCUAAUACCGGAUAUGACUCCAUAACGCAUGUUGUGGGGUGGAAAGCCUUGUGCGGCUAGGGAUGGGCCCGCGGCCUAUCAGCUUGUUGGUGGGGUGAUGGCCACCAAGGCGACGACGGGUAGCCGGCCUGAGAGGGCGACCGGCCACACUGGGACUGAGACACGGCCCAGACUCCUACGGGAGGCAGCAGUGGGGAAUCUUGCGCAAUGGGCGAAAGCCUGACGCAGCGACGCCGCGUGGGGA
rnacentral:rRNA from 1 species